UUGAACGCUGGCGGCAGGCCUAACACAUGCAAGUCGAACGGUAACAGGAAGAAGCUUGCUUCUUUGCUGACGAGUGGCGGACGGGUGAGUAAUGUCUAGGAAACUGCCUGAUGGAGGGGGAUAACUACUGGAAACGGUAGCUAAUACCGCAUAACGUCGCAAGACCAAAGAGGGGGACCUUCGGGCCUCUUGCCAUCGGAUGUGCCCAGAUGGGAUUAGCUAGUAGGUGGGGUAACGGCUCACCUAGGCGACGAUCCCUAGCUGGUCUGAGAGGAUGACCAGCCACACUGGAACUGAGACACGGUCCAGACUCCUACGGGAGGCAGCAGUGGGGAAUAUUGCACAAUGGGCGCAAGCCUGAUGCAGCCAUGCCGCGUGUAUGAAGAAGGCCUUCGGGUUGUAAAGUACUUUCAGCGGGGAGGAAGGGAGUAAAGUUAAUACCUUUGCUCAUUGACGUUACCCGCAGAAGAAGCACCGGCUAACUCCGUG
rnacentral:rRNA from 1 species